UAAUUUCACGCCUACCACCUUGGAAGUACAGCCAAACAUUCCUUUGCAACAGCCAAAAAAUAAAAAAAGAAAGGAGCUAUUGACUGUGCCUACUGCUGAGAAAAUCAAGAAUGGAGUACAGGGUAGAAAAUCAACACAAGGCUUGAAGAAGUCUAAGCCUACAAACAUGGAGGCAGAUGAACUUACAAGAAAGCUCAAAGCAAUUCGUAAAAGGAACGGCAACGUGCCAACAAGUGUAAGCCAAGAACGGAGUUGUCCAAGUUCUACUCAACUCACAAUCAACCAAGGGCAGUAGCAAAAUAUUCAACUCACAGAUGAAGAGACUGAAACAGGGAAGAUGACACAACUUUGCCUACUCCUGAAACUACCCCACAAAAUAAAAGUGCAAUGUUGGAGCAAAGAAUAUCAACAAAGGGUAAGAGGAUGCCAGGAGUAAAGGCUACAACAAUUGACAAAUUCUUAAAGGAAAAUGGGAUAGACAUGGAAAUUGAAGGACCAAGCACUGAACUAAGUGAGGACGGGAAAGAAAGCAUGGCACUUGAUGAAGACUAUUAUCAACAUGUGAUGGAGGACAUUGAUGAUGAAGAAGGAGAGCCAAAGAAGAAGAAAAUUCGUGGAAAAAUAACUUGCAAAGAGAUUUAUGCAAGGACUAUGGAACAGCGGGAAGAAGUCACUUUUGAUAUUGGACAGCCCGUAGGACCAACUGACCAAAGUGUUUCUAAUUUAACUAGUUUUGUUGGCACUAUUGGUAGAAAUAAAAGAUUCGUUAGUCUUUUGUACACUAGUUGGCAUGCGGUUUCUCCUAAAUCUAAGAAGUUCAUGUGGGACUAUGUUAACAUAAGACACUCGACCAAGUUUAUCCUCCCAGACAGUGGAUAAAGUGGGUAAUGCAAGCGAUUUGAGAUGCUUGGAAGCGGUUCAAAGGAAAGAUUAAGCAGAAGCACUUUGUUCCCUAUGAUACUAUUGAAGAUAUGGUGAAGAAUCGACCCCCACAAGUACCAGAAAGUCAAUUCAUAAAAUUGAUCUAUUAUUGGAGUCAUCUUCUAAUCCAGCCAAAGAAACAAACAAUACAAGGAAAAACAGAAGUUUCCACAUCGCAUGGAGCCAAUCAAUUUCGGAAGAGUACGAGUGGCUCUGCGAGCGACAAAGGAAACAAACGAGGAACCAAAAAGGUUUGAGAUGUUCAUUGCUACCCGAACAAGUCGGAAGAGGAAAGAAGUGGAUGAGGAAACACAGACUGCUAUUACUUCCAACACCGCCAAGCUGCUGGUAAAACAGAAGAGGAAGCAUUUGAGACCUUAUUUGGGAAAGAACAACCAGGUCGGGUAAGGUUGUAUGGAAGAUCUGUGACAAAAAGUGAUUUAAAAAAACAUGCUGAAAUUAAUGAAAUCAAGAAUCAGCACAAAGAGGAAGUGUCCAGUCUGAAGGAUAAACUUGGACACAUGGAGGCCAAACAACAAAAACAAGAGGAAGAAAUUCAUGGGUUGCGAAAUAUGGUCAAGUUAAUACUGCAGCGAUCGGAACCUAGAAUGAGGCCAUAAGAACUAGAAGCUUUAUUACAAGACGCUCAACAGUCUCCGAUUGAUACGAAUAGCGGCCAUGGAUCAACUCAUUUUCCGAACUUAGAUGUGGGUAACAAUGAAGAUUAAGCAAUGAAGAUUAAGCUGAUUAUUAUUGUGGUUUAUUAGCUAAGAUAGAGUACUGUUUAGAAUCUUUACAUGUAUGGUUGACUAAUGACUUUUAUUAGAAGAUACUUAUAUAUGUAGGAUAUAUUUUUUUUUGUAGAGUAUUAAUAGUAAAUUCUAAGUGAUAUUAUGGUUAUUUUGAUAUGGCUAUGCUUACUUUA